AGCUUUGCACAGUGGCAGUAUCGUAGCCAAUGAGGUUUAUCCGAGGCGCAACUAUUGCUAAUUGAAAAAAAAAAGAAUAGAAUCAAAACGUUUAUUUAUACUUUGCAGGUGAAAAUGUAAAAACAAUGUCUUCCCUUUGGAA